UACGGGGGGGGCUAGCGUUGUUCGGAAUUACUGGGCGUAAAGGGCGCGUAGGCGGCCUACUAAGUCGGACGUGAAAUCCCUCGGCUCAACCGAGGAACUGCGUCCGAUACUGGUGGGCUCGAAUCCGGGAGAGGGAUGUGGAAUUCCAGGUGUAGCGGUGAAAUGCGUAGAUAUCUGGAGGAACACCGGUGGCGAAGGCGGCAUCCUGGACCGGUAUUGACGCUGAUGCGCGAAAGCCAGGGGAGCAAACGGG
rnacentral:rRNA from 1 species